AAGUCGUAACAAGGUUUCCGUAGGUGAACCUGCGGAAGGAUCAUUAACAGUGCUUUUGUAUGCAAAUACAAUCCCACUACAACCCUGUGUGAACCGUUUUGACUACCCAUGUGUGCGGGUACCCAGGAAUGGGUAAGGCUGCACACAUUUUUUACCCACCCUGUCCUUAUGAUACUGAAUAGUAAAGCUUAGUUGAAAAACUUGCAAAACUUUUAGCAAUGGAUCUCUAGGCUCUU
rnacentral:misc_RNA from 1 species